rnacentral:rRNA from 1 species
UACGUAGGGGGCUAGCGUUGUCCGGAUUUAUUGGGCGUAAAGAGCGUGUAGGCGGCCAGGUAGGUCUGCUGUGAAAACUCGAGGCUCAACCUCGAGACGUCGGCGGAAACCAUCUGGCUAGAGUCCGGAAGAGGAGAGUGGAAUUCCUGGUGUAGCGGUGAAAUGCGCAGAUAUCAGGAGGAAUACCGGUGGCGAAGGCGGCAUCCUGGACCGGCAUUGACGCUGAACAGCGAAAGCUAGGGGAGCAAACGGG